AAAAAAAUAAGACAAUUUAAAAACUUAAAGCAAAUCAAACCAUAUAAAGGAAGUCAUGACAAGGUAAGAUAAAAAAAAUCCUGAGGUGGAUUAUUGUGCACCAAAAUUACAAGUUCUCAAACUUCCAUCACUCAGCAGAGGAUAGAAACUGAAAUCUCAGGCAGGCAGCCACCUUCUCUAUCUAACUAUAUCGGCAAAGGGAAACUCAAUUCGAUUUGCAAAUGGAUUGUACUCUUCAAUGGGUUCUUUCUUAUUGCAGCCACUUUCACCCGCAAUGUGAUUCGUUCUCAAAUUUGAAGAUAAGUUCCUCGCCAUCCCUUCUUUUAAAGAAAAAGGAUCGGGUGUGAAAGAGAAAAGAGAGAAGCCUGAAUUUCUAGACUCCUCAGUUUCACCGGAUCCAGCAGUCGUUGACUUCUCCAUUGUGUGCUGUCCUACUGGAGCCAUCCUUUGGACUUUAGCUUCCUCUUUUAACCUACCAACUGUUGAAACCCUGGCAUUUUCCUUGAUGCAUCUGUCACUGGUUGGAGCAACUGACUGAAAAACAGGCAAGUGGCCAUGGUUAAUGGGUGGAGGGAUCAGAUGCUGCAGGGCACCAUGCUGCAUGAAAUGGGCAUUCGCAUUUAAACCAUAUGAAAAUGGAGUAGCAAAUACAUAAUGGUUUGGAUGAGGAAAUGGAAUGAACCCAUUUACAGGAGUAGUCGCCCAAGAAAGUGGAGUUUGAUAAUAAUAGUCCAUAGCAGGAACUUGAAACCUUGGGAAGUGUGUGCCUUGACUGUGGACUGGUGGACGCAAGGAUUGAGGUCGCAUGCCAAGAGUCCCAUUCACAUUUGCAUUUGUUGAAGCAGCUGUGGUCGGGAAACUUCCCACAGUAGUUCCUACAGAAUUUGGUGUCAGGGAACUGACAUCCUCACCUUUAGCAGCAGCAGUUCUUUUUUCUUGUGCAACUUCGUAGCAUUCAGCAAAAGCAUUCUGCAUAACUUCAGAAGUUUCUCUUCCUUCAGAGUUUUUGCUGCAAUCUUCUGAAUCUGACGUCGAUGAUGAUUCUGAAUUAUGUGGAUUUGAAAAGGAUGUAGCACUGUCUCCCUCACUAAGGCAGGAUGAGCAAUUAUCAGAAUUAGAGGAGCUGCUUUGUGAUAAACCCAAAGUCCUCUGAGAGGAAGACCUCGGGAUCAGACAAGAAUCAACUUCAUCUUCAGCCACUUCUUUCACAUAACAA
rnacentral:misc_RNA from 1 species